AUUGAACGCUGGCGGCAGGCCUAACUCAUGCAAGUCGAGCGAGCGGCGGACGGGUGAGUAAUGUAUGGGGACUGCCCGAUGGAGGGGGAUAACUACUGGAAACGGUAGCUAAUACCGCAUACUAUCGGAUAACCCAUAUGGGAUUAGCUAGUAGGUGAGGUAAUGGCUCACCUAGGCGACGAUCCCUAGCUGGUCUGAGAGGAUGAGCAGCAACACUGGGAAUGAGACACGGCCCAGAUUCCUACGGGGGCAGCAGUGGGGAAGAUUGCACAAUGGGCGCAAGCCUGAUGCAGCCAUGCCGCGUGUAGGAAGAAGGCCCUAGGGUUGUAAAGUACUUUCAGUCGGGAGGCGUUACCGGCAGAAGAAGCACCGGCUAACUCCGUGCCAGCAGCCGCGGUAAUUC
rnacentral:rRNA from 1 species